ACGCUCGACACCUACGAGGCAGCAGUGGGGAAUAUUGCACAAUGGGGGAAACCCUGAUGCAGCGACGCCGCGUGAAGGAAGAAGUAUCUCGGUAUGUAAACUUCUAUCAGCAGGGAAGAAAGUGACGGUACCUGACUAAGAAGCCCCGGCUAAUUACGUGCCUAGCAGCCGCGGUAAUCUGAGCGGGCUGGCAAGGC
rnacentral:rRNA from 1 species